CAUAAUCACCCAGUAAAACCAGAAAUGGCUCCUGCCCUUGUGAAGCUUACAGUUUAGUCAGCAUCUACUUUAAUCAAAGUCUAUGAACAAACAUAAAUAUAAAAUCUGCAACUGGAACAAGUACAGUAGGUGGAGGAAAGAACUGCCAACACAGUCUGGAUGUGACCUAAGAGGAGACAGACUUCUUCCCACAGUUCCUGAAAUGUCCCUGAGCCAAAACGAAGAGGCAAGCACAUGAAGAGGACAGGAAGAACGAUCUGUGCAGACGCAACACACGGUGGCCAAGGAGCUAUGAAACAAAGCAUGGUGAGAGGAGACAGGAGGAACAGGGGAGGCUGGAGAGCAGGUGGUGGACUAAUUCAGAGAACCAAACCUACCACUGAAAACUGAAAACAGUGGAAAAUAUAGAAAAUAUCUACUGAAAUGAAUCCACGAGCUGUAAGAACAUAAGGAAUCCACAGGCAAAAACUAGGUAAAUGGAGGAAUGCACAAAGGAAAUUUAAAAACACUACUGAUGCGGAAUUAAGUGUGGAAAGCCUCAACAGUUAUUAAAACUACACUUCAACUGGAAAUGAGCUGAGGCCAACCACAACAAUCUUGAAGUCACUUCCAGAAAGCUUUUCUCUGAAAAUGAAUUUAGAGUAUUUUCACUGUAGGACAAAGGAAAAAUGAAAAUGUGGGUUCUACACGUCAGGAUAGUCCUUCACAUACUAGAAGACAGCAAUGCUCUAUCAUCUGUCACCAACCACUCCUCCACCUCCAUCCCCAUCUUCUUGGCCCAAAUCCUGAGGUUUCCUUUCUCCAAGCUAAAUGUCUCCGAUUUCUUCACUCACAUAUCAAACAGUGUGCUUUCAAAUUACUUCAUCAUCUUGGCAAAGAAGCAAAUGACAAAUGUUUACUGGACACACCUAUCACGAGCAAAAUCUCUACCAGGUGCUAUCUACACUACCGGUUUAAAAAGAUAUGUAUAUAGACGUGGCUCAAGGUAUUUACAACUUAACCGGAGAGAGGAAAUAUGCUUCACAGAAGAUACUAAUACUAACCAAUAGGAAAAACAAAUGCAUUUGAAUUCAAAAUUGAUCAUGAACAUAUAACAUUCUGGCAGCAGAUACGGAGGGCACUUGACUUGGUUCAAAUGUAAACAAAACUGUGUUUGCCUAUUUUAAAGCUGGCAACAGAAAUCACCCAGAACUAAGGAGCUGGGCCAACAGCAUGACCAUAGGACAAAAAAAAAAAAAAAAAAAAAAA